rnacentral:rRNA from 1 species
UGCAGUCGNNCGGCAGCACGGGAGCAAUCCUGGUGGCGAGUGGCGAACGGGUGAGUAAUAUAUCGGAACGUGCCCAGUCGUGGGGGAUAACGUAGCGAAAGCUACGCUAAUACCGCAUACGAUCUACGGAUGAAAGCGGGGGACUCGUAAGGGCCUCGCGCGAUUGGAGCGGCCGAUAUCAGAUUAGGUUGUUGGUGAGGUAAAAGCUCACCAAGCCUGCGAUCUGUAGCUGGUCUGAGAGGACGACCAGCCACACUGGAACUGAGACACGGUCCAGACUCCUACGGGAGGCAGCAGUGGGGAAUUUUGGACAAUGGACGCAAGUCUGAUCCAGCAAUGCCGCGUGCAGGACGAAGGCCUUCGGGUUGUAAACUGCUUUUGUACGGAACGAAACGGUCUGCUUUAAUACAGUGGGCUAAUGACGGUACCGUAAGAAUAAGCACCGGCUAACUACGUGCCAGCAGCCGCGGUAAUACGUAGGGUGCGAGCGUUAAUCGGAAUUACUGGGCGUAAAGCGUGCGCAGGCGGUUAUAUAAGACAGAUGUGAAAUCCCCGGGCUCAACCUGGGACCUGCAUUUGUGACUGUAUAGCUAGAGUACGGUAGAGGGGGAUGGAAUUCCGCGUGUAGCAGUGAAAUGCGUAGAUAUGCGGAGGAACACCGAUGGCGAAGGCAAUCCCCUGGACCUGUACUGACGCUCAUGCACGAAAGCGUGGGGAGCAAACAGGAUUAGAUACCCUGGUAGUCCACGCCCUAAACGAUGUCAACUGGUUGUUGGGUCUUCACUGACUCAGUAACGAAGCUAACGCGUGAAGUUGACCGCCUGGGGAGUACGGCCGCAAGNUUGAAACUCAAANGAAUUGACGGGGACCCGCACAAGCGGUGGAUGAUGUGGUUUAAUUCGAUGCNACGCGAAAAANCNUUACCCACCUUUGA